CCAUUUUCUUCUUUGAACUGUUUUCUUUCACUGCAUGGUUCUUCACAAAAUCACCACAAAAACAAUAUUGUAAUAAAUUGAAGAUAGUUAUAAGAUGUGUAUUCUUGAUGAAUUUCAAACUACAUUUUAUUUUGCUCUACACAUUUUAUGAUGUCCAAGUAAUGAGGUCAUGACAUCAAUAUGAAUCCAUAUAGUAACCAAUGAAAUAAAAGAGAAAUUCAUUUUAUGUCUUCCUAGAUCUUUGGAUAAAAACAGGCCACAUUUACUUGUACAUGUUGUGUGUAUUGUACUUAAAUAUAAAAACACCAGUAAAUGUUAUACAUAUAUAUCAUGUAAUAUACUCUCACCGCAUUCAAUGUCAUUGAUUCAAUGGACUUAAUUAAGUAUAAUGGGAAUAGGUCUUAUAAUUAGUGUAAAUAAAAGUGAAAUAAUUAGAAGGAUGUUAGUAUUGUAUUUCACAAUGACCAUGAUGACAUACAGGAAUAGAAUUUUGAAAAUUUUAUUGUAAGUAAUAAUUUCAUACUUAAUGCGAAUUAUAAUUAUGAUAAUUGUAUAUUUUUUUUGUUUUGUGUAUGGUCUCCUUAAAGUUUUAUUUUGAGGAGGAUUAAGGGGGAUGGGGCAAAUGGGCCCGGGCAUUCCCUUUUUGAUAAAAUUUUGUUUGAUUAAUCUAUUUAGGGAUCAAAUCACUGAAGCAUGAUUUGUACGGGUCCCUUUUAAAAAAAUUCUGGAUUUGCCACAGGCAUACAGAAAUUAAGGAUGUUUUAUAAUUUUAAGAAAUUCUAAUAUAUAUCAAUUAAAAAAUAUAUAUAUAUAUAUAUUGUAUGCAUUAGUGAUAAAUUUAAUAAUCGUGUCACCUAAGGAUAUUUGCCUGUAGAUGUUUUAUGUCCCACCUUUGGGCAUUAUGCUUUCUAAUGAGUCAUGAGUAUGAGUCUGUUCCUCCAUCUGUCUGUCCGGCUUCAAGUUUUUGAUGAAGUUGAAGUCCAAUCAACUUGAAACUUAGUACAUGUUCCCUAUGAUAUGAUCUUUCUUAUUUUAUUAUCCAAUUAGAGUUUUGCCCCCAAUUUCAUGGUCCUCUAAACAUAUAAAAAUGAUAGUGCUAGUGGGUCAUCUGUUCACUAUGGACACAUUAUUGUUAUUGAUUUAAAUGCAAAGUAUUUAAGAAUAAGUUUCUGAAUUUCACCAGUUGAUAAUUCCCUACAAUUUAAAAUUCAAGAAUUUUGUACAAGUAUGUACCACUUGAAAGUAUAUUUGACAUGGAUGAGAGUUUAGAUGGGGUUUACAAAUUAGAGAAUAACAGGCAAAAUGUACAGAAUAAAGGUAAAAAAAAAAUAAUAGGGAAAAGAAAGAAAACUAAAACUAAAUAAAUAUUAGAAAAUUUAACAGGGUGCUGAAAUGAAAUAUAAAAAUAGAGAUUAAAGAAAAACAAUUUAAUAUACAUGUCUUAAAGAAUAAAGAUACAUGUAUACAGAACCCCUAUCUAGACCUUAAUAAAUCAAGCCAUAUAAACAUAAACAUAAAUGACAAAUACUCUGAUAAUUGUGAUAAUAGUUGUCAGGUCACAGGAGUUUGUCUGCAAAAGACUUCAUAAGUAACUCGAUCUCAUCAAUAAAAAAAAAUGAAAGAAAUACCAAAUAAUCAAAACCUAAACUAAAAUUAAUGAACAAGGCCAAAUAAUUUAAUACAAAAUGAAAAACAAUCAAUUGAUAAAAAAAAUGAGAAAAGAAUCAUAGAUAAAACAUGAUAUCAUAAAACUAGAUACUCGAUGAUAUAAAAAUAACAAAAUAUUUGAAUAAACAAAGAACUUAAACCUGAAAUUUAUAAGAAAAAAUUAAAAAAAGGGCGGUUAAAAUAUAAACACAUAAAUGACAAAUACUCUGAUAAUUGUGAUUAGGUCAGACAGGAGUUUGUCUGCAAAAGACUCAUAAGUAACUCGAUCUCCAAUAAAAAAAAAUGAAAGGCCAAAUAAUUUACAAAAUUAAAAACUUUGAUAAUCAAGAGAAAAACUUAUAUCUAUGAUUCAUACAUAAAAUACAAAACUUAGAACCUGAAAUUGAAAAAUUAUAAACAGUCAGGGGCGUUACUUAAACAAGUAGUUUUUUCACGUUACUUAUAUAUAUAUAUAUAUAUAGUAAGUAAUUUUUGUUUUUGAAAAUAAUAAGAUUACUUAAUCAUGUUAAUAGAGUUAUUUUAAAUUUGAAUAGAAGCAUAGAUUAAAUGUAGUUUGAAUGAGUUUUUAUAUAAUUUUAUAUGAUAAAAUAAAGAAUUUAUUAGAUUGGAGAGGAGUAUGGAGAUAAAGGUUUAUAAUGACAAAAACAUUACUUGAAUAAGUUAUUUUAUACAUUUUAAUUUUUUUUAGUAAUAACACUUAUUUAAGAAACACAUGUAGUUGAUUUGGGUUAGCAGUUAUAAAUAACUUGAAAUCUUAAUUAAUUCACAAGUAUGUUAACUUUCUAUUUAUACCAGUCUACCUUCAAGAUUUUGGAGGAAAAUGAUAAUUUAAUAGUCCCUGAAGCAUGUGAAGAGACCAAUCUAAAUUUACCCAGAAGUAUCCAUAUGAAAGAUAAGUGAUAAUUAAGUGCAUCAGCAAGUUAAUUAGUGUUUCAGAAGAAAUUUAUAUUUCAUGGGGAAAAUAACCAGAUGACUGUGAAAAUUUGUUAAAGCUAGUAAAAUCUGCAUUUUUGGACACCUAUAAAAAUAAUAUUUAGAAAAGUUACCUAAUAUAUAAGUAGUAUUGAAAAUAGCCUGGUUUUCAACAUAACUUAUAUAGGCAGUUUUAAAUGUUACUUGUUUAAAUAAUGCCCCUGACUUAUGAUUUUUUUGUUUGUUUGUCAAAAGUUUUAUUUUCUAUUUAGCUCACCUGACCUAAGAGGCCAUGUGAGCUUUUGCCAUCCCUUGGCAUUAAUUGUUGAAUCAUCCAUUAAUGUCUGGUGUACACUUUUUCAUAGAUCUUCUCUUCUGAAACUACUGUAAUUAAUUAAUUUUAACCAAACUUUGGCUAAAUGAUCCUUAGGGUAUCUAGUAUAUAUUUUGUAAUUUUUAGCUCAGUGAGGCCCGAAGGGCCCGAUGUGAGCUUACGCCAUCACUUGGCGUCCUAUGUCGUCUGUCGUCGUAAACUAUUUAAAAAAUCUUCUCCUCUGAAACUACUGGGCCAAAUACAUGUACCUUCAAACUUUAACUAAAUGUUCCUAAGGGUAUCUAGUUUAUAAAUUGUAUCCGAAGUUUUGAUCCAUUGACAAACAUGGACGCCAUGGCUAAAAAUAGAACAUACUGGUCAAAUGCAGUUUUGUUAAUUGGCCCCUUAAGGAGUUAUUGCCCUUUAAAGUCAAUUUUACACAAUUUGUUGAUCAAGUUUGCUAAUUAUAUAUAACAUUUAAAAAUCUUCUCUGAAAUACAGAUGAGCGAUUCAGGCUCUUGAGAGUCUCUUGUUAUCUUGUCCUUUAAUUAAGAAACACUGCAUAGUUUGGUAAAAAACAAUAACUUUAAUAUUUAACGUAGCAUUUCAAGAUUAAUCUGCCUUUAAAAUUAAGACCAAUCUUGAAAACCCUUGGCUAUUUGAAGUUAUUGCUCCUGCAAUAGCAAGUUCCCACAAUUUAUACAUGUUAUAUAUAUAUGUUCUUGUUAACAAUGAUUGUCAUAUUGAAAACAAUUAUAGAUAUCAUAAAGAUAAAUUUAAAACAGCAAAAUAGUAGUGUGGAUCCUUAUAUGAGUUAUUGCCCUUGAAAGACAAAAUUUUAGCAGAAUUUCAAGUUUCAUGCAGGAAGUAUGAUAGAUGUAGAGACAUUUAUUUAUGUUCAGCUAAGUUAAAGAUCUGCGAAUAAGCUUACAUCAUGACCAAAAUAGUUAAUUGAUCCUUUAUAGGAUUUUUUGUCCUUAAGAAAUUAUUUUACCAAAAGUUAUGUUUUUUUGCAGAUAAUAAUAGAAAGAAGGAAUUUUAAUUUUUUUUUAAGUGAUAAAUAUGUUCAGCAAAGUAAGAUCUGGGAAUAGGACUUGUAUUAUUUAAAUUGCCAAUUGAUCCUUCAAAGCUGUUAUUGCCCUUGAAAGAAUAUAUAUUACCAAAUAUUUUUUUCUUCGGUUUUUUGAUUUUUGAUUUUUUUUUUAUGGAAGUAUUAUAUUUCAUUUUUCAUUUUUCUUCCAAUGGGUCGAAUAUAGAAAAGCAGAAAUUUAAGUAGCCCACACCAAUUAUAGGGGCCAUUGGCGAUUGGGCCCCUGCUAAUUUAAGUUUUUCAUAGUAAAGAAGUGUCUUCAUCAGAAUUACAGUUUACAUGUGUUGUUUACAUUAAUGUCAUUAAUUAGUUCUGCACAGUUAAAUUCUUUAUAGCUGUUUAACUAAUUCACCAAUGUUUCUAUAUCUUUUGAAUCCUAUUGAUAGGUUUUUAUUGAAUUUGUCACCUAUUGUAGAAUCUAUUUUGAUAAGAUUCCAGUAUUUCCUGAAUAUUGUUUGAAGUUUUCUGCUUAAGAAUUCGAUUGAUUAUUCGUAAUGAAUGAUAUAUUUUAUCUAUUUUCAACUUUGUUCUUUUUCUAGACAUAAAUUCAUAGAAAUUGAUCCAAUAUCCACCUAUUUAGGUGAAAAUCCUAACUCUGUCCUGAUUUCAUAGAAAUUAAUCUAAUAUCUAUCUAUCCAUUAGUGCAUAUCACAAUUUUAAAUUAAAUAAAUGUGCCUUCAAGUAGUUCAUGUGUAAAAAAAAAUGCUAAGGAUAAUGCUGUGGAUUCAUUUAAAUUUUGUGGUCACAUGUAUCAAUUUUCGUGGAUUAAAGAAAUUUUGUAUUUGUUUUGUUUGGUUUUUUCAUAGUCUGUAUACAACCCGAUGGCAAAUUUAUAAUUCGUUUAACAUUUAAAUUCGUGACUCAGCUGUUUCAAUGAAAACCACGAAAAUUGGUAUCCCAUGAAUAAUAAUGAAUCCACAUUGAACAUUUUCAGCAUGAAGGUUUAUGCCAUUCUGUUCUUAUUUCAGAUUGACAUAUCUGUAGGACAUGCAGUUAGCCUAGACAAAUAGGAAGAGAAAGGUCUUUGAUUCUGAGUUCUCUGUGAAGUUCAAGGUCUUUUUUAGUCUAAAUUAUAAUGGGAAGAUGUGAACGGUAAGUUUGAAAGUUUGUAAUUGUGCAAAAAUAUGUUAUUUUUAACAAAAUGUGCUGUUUCACAAAUAAAAUCCUCUGUCUCUUAGACACUUAUGUAGCAAUAAGGCCACUAUAUUGGUAUAUGAAAUGAUUGUAAGCUGUAUUUGCUUGACUGGUUAAACUGACCAUGCCUUCAUUUUCAUGGAUCAAGUUUAUGUGAUAUUAUUAAAAAAAAAAGCGACAAAUUUUCAAUCAUAAGUAAAGCAGGCUUAGUUGUUAAUUUAUGUGUCAUUUGGGCUCUUGUGGAGAGUAAAUGUCUCAUUGGCAAUAAUGAAUUAUACCACAUCUUUUUUUAUAUGACAUUUGAAUGUUGCAUUUAUAUAUAUAUAUAUUAUAUACAUAUUGCAAUCACUCAUUAGCUGGCCAAUUGUUUAUUAGCAUCCAUGUUUACAAAUAACUACAUUUGUGCAAUAAUGGGAUGAUUUUGUGGCACCAUGUACUUUAACUGUUCUAGAGUAAUGCCCUUUACAAACAAACAAAAGUGCUGAAUUUUGUUUCCAUUUUCUAACUUUUAUAAGUUUGCCUCUGAACCAAAUGCUAUGAAAUCAAUACACAGCAAUGCUUAUUACCACAAAAUACAGAUCAAGUAUGUAUUAAGGGGGUGGUGUCACUUAACUGUUCUGUAGUUAUGCCCCUUUACAAAUGAAAAAUAUGCUUAUAUUUAUAGUUUCCGUUCUCUAACUUUGAUUUGCCUCAACUAAAUGCAAUUAAACUUAUACACAAUGCUUGUUACCACAAAAAUACAGAGAUCAAGUUUGAAUUUUAAGGGGGUCACUUUAACCGUUCUAGAAUUAUGCCCCUUCACAAAUUGAAUGAUUGCUGAAAUUUUCAUUUCCAUUCACUUACUUUAAUUAGCUUGCCUCAACCAAAUGCUAUGACAUGUAUGAAUAAUUGUACACAAUAUUUAUUACCACAAAAUACAGAUCAAGUUUGACUUUUGAGGUUGUCAUUAAAUUUUUUAGAGUUAUGUCCCUUUGAAAAUGGAAAAAUUGCUGGAUUUGUGUUUCCUUUCUCUAAAUUAAGUUUGCAUAAACUAAAUUUUAUGAAACUUAUACACAAUACCUAUUACCACUAAAUCAGAUCAAGUGUUUUCGGUAGAGUCACUUUUACAGUUAUGUCCUUUUAUAACUUUAUAUGAUAUGCAAGCGUGGGCAUCAUCUGUGAUCCAUUGAUACAUUCCCCAUUUAAUUUUUUGUUAAACAUCAAUUUUUUAAUUUUUUGGUUGUCAGAGCCGAUUAAUGCCCCAUUUGUUUGUAGGUAAGAAUUGGUAAAGUAACACACACACAUAUAUAUAUCAAAAAAGUGCACAAAAACCUAAUUAUUGAUAUUAUGUUGAUAGUCCUAAGUAUAAAACUUUAUUAAAAACUGUCACAUAAACUUAGCAUUAACCAAGAUAACUAAACAAAGACCAAUGAACCAUGAAAAUGAGGUCAAGGUCAGAUGAACCAUGCCAGGCAGACAUGUACAGCUAACAAUGCUUCCAUACAACAAAUAUAGUUGACCUAUUACUUAUAGUUUAAGAAAAAUAGACCAAAACACAAAAACUUAACACUGAGCAAUGAACCGUGAAAAUGAGGUCAAGGUCAAAUAAAACCUGUGGGACUGACAUAUAGAUCAUAAAAUAUUUCCAUACACCAAAUAUAGUUGACCUAUGGCAUAUAGUAUUAGAUAAAAAGACCAAAACUCAAAAACUUAACUUUGACCACUCAACCAUGAAAAUGAGCUCAAGGUCAGAUGACAUCUGCCCGCUAGACAUGUACAUCUUACAAUCAUUCCAUACAACAAAUAUAGUAGAUUAUUGCAUAAGUAUGAGAAAAACAGACCAAAACACAAAACUUAACUAUAACCACUGAACCAUGAAAAUGAGGUCAAGGUCAGAUGACACCUGCCAGUUGGACAUGUACACCUUACAGUCCUUCCAUACACUGAAUAUACUAGACCUAUUGCUUAUAGUAUCUGAGAUAUGGACUUGACCACCAAAACUUAACCUUGUUCACUGAUCCAUGAAAUGAGGUCGAGGUCAAGUGAAAACUGUCUGACGGGCAUGAGGACCUUGCAAGGUACGCAUAUACCAAAUAUAAUUAUCCUAUUACUUAUGAUAAGAGAGAAUUAACAUUACAAAAAAUCUGAACUUUUUUUUCAAGUGUCACUGAACCAUGAAAAUGAGGUCAAGGACAUUUGACAUGUGACUGACGGAAACUUCGUAACAUGAGGCAUCUAUAUACAAAGUAUGAAGCAUCCAGGUCUUCCACCCUCUAAAAUAUAAAGCUUUUAAAAAGUUAGCUAACACCGCCGUAGCCGCCGCCGGAUCACUAUCCCUAUGUCGAGCUUUCUGCAACAAAAGUUGCAGGCUCGACAAAAAUGAAAACACCAGAUUAGAAAAAAAAGAUGCAGUAUGAUUGCUAAGGAAACAACUGCCAUAAUAAUUAUAAGAACAACAUUUAAACAUCAUCAGAGUAUUAAGGCUUCAAUUAUUGAAGAAAACAAAUGACAUACAGUAAGCUAUGAAAGGACCUGUGAUAACAAAUUCAUCUAUUAUCAUAAUUAUAAGACAGAACAAAAUAUGAAAUCAUGAAUAUUAAUAUGAAGGACUUUAGAAAUAUGAACUUGAAUUGACUUUUCUUUGUAGGAUACAAAGAAAUCUUGGAGGACAAAUUGGUGCGAGUCUUAAAAGACACAGAUUUGAAGAUAAAUGAAAGAAAAAGAAUGACAAACAUAGUUUAAAGGACUGCAGACUUCCUGAUAUCUUUCAAACUGUUCUUUUGGUAUACAUGGUAUAAAUGUAAUAUUGCAAUAUCAUUUUAUUUGUAUAGGUAUACAUCCUGUAAAUCUUGUUGGUGCCUUUUAGCUCCUUAAAUGCAACCACUAUUUAGUAAACAUUGUCAUGAUUGUUGUUCUAUAUGUGAGCUUAUUAGUUAACUAGAGC
rnacentral:lncRNA from 1 species